GAUGAACGCUAGCGGCAGGCUUAAUACAUGCAAGUCGAGGGGCAGCGCAGUGUAGCAAUACAUGGGCGGCGACCGGCAAACGGGUGCGGAACACGUACGCAACCUUCCUUUAAGUGGGGGAUAGACCAGGGAAACUUGGAUUAAUACCCCGUAAUAUUAUGAAGUGGCAUCACUUUAUACUUAUAGCUCCGGCGCUUAAAGAUAGGCGUGCGACUGAUUAGGUAGUUGGCGGGGUAACGGCCCACCAAGACUGCGAUCAGUAACUGGUGUGAGAGCACGACCAGUCACACGGGCACUGAGACACGGGCCCGACUCCUACGGGAGGCAGCAGUAAGGAAUAUUGGUCAAUGGACGCAAGUCUGAACCAGCCAUGCCGCGUGGAGGAUGAAGGUCCUCUGGAUUGUAAACUUCUUUUAUUUGGGAAGAAACCCACUGUUUCUACGGUGGUUGACGGUACCAGAUGAAUAAGCACCGGCUAACUCCGUGCCAGCCGCCGCCGUAA
rnacentral:rRNA from 1 species